ACCCGUUGAUCCUGCGGGAGAUCGCUGCUAUUGGGAUUCGACUAAGCCAUGCAGGUCAGAGGGUCUCUUAGGAGACACAGGCAGAAUGCUCAGUAACACGUCAAUAAUCUGCCCUUAGGUCUGGAAUAACCUUGGGAAACUGAGGCUAAAACCGGAUAGAAGAAUUCUACUGGAAUGUGUUUUCUUUUAAAAGCAAUGCCUAAGGAUGAGUUGGCGGCUGAUUAGGUUGUUGGUGGGGUAAAGGCCCACCAAGCCGAAGAUCAGUAGGGGCCCUGAGAGGGGGAGCCCCGAGAAGGACACUGAGAUACUGGUCCUAGCCCUACGGGGUGCAGCAGGCGCGAAACCUUUACAAUGCACGUAAGUGUGAUAAGGGAAUCCCAAGUGCUUAUGCUUUGCAUAAGCUUUUGCCAAAUGUAAAAAGUUUGGCGAAUAAGUGGUGGGCAAGACCGGUGCCAGCAGCCGCGGUAACACCGGCGCCACAAGUGGGGAUCAGCAUUAUUUGGCCUAAAGCGUCCGUAGCCGGUUUGAUAAAUCCUUUGUGAAAUUGUACAGCUUAACUGUACAACGUGCAGAGGACACUGUCAGACUUGGAACAGGGAGAGGUUGGGAGAAUAUUGGGGGGAGCGGUAAAAUGCAAUAAUCCCCGAUAGACUACCGGUGGCGAAGGCGCCCAACCAGAACUGCUUCGACGGUGAGGGACGAAAGCCAGGGGAGCGAACCGGAUUAGAUACCCGAGUAGUCCUGGCCGUAAACGCUGUGAGCAAGGUGUUGCGUAUUCUCCGUGAAUGCGCAGUGUCGAAACGAAGGUGUUUAGCUCACCGCCUGGGAAGUAUGGUCGCAAGACUGAAACUUAAAGGAAUUGGCGGGGGAGCACUACAAGGGGUGCGGCGUGCGGUUUAAUCUAACUCAACGCAGAGAAUCUCACCAGAUGCGACGGCAGGAUGAAAGUCAGGCUGAAGACCUUACUUGACGAGCCGAGAGGUAGUGCAUGGCCGCCGUCAGCUCGUGUCAUAGGAUGUCCUGUUAAGUCAGGCAACGAGCGAGACCUACAUCCACAAUUGCCAGCAGGUUCUUUAGAACGACUGGGCACAUUGUGGGGGCUGCCUGUGAAAACAGGAGGAAGGUGUAGGCCACGGUAGGUCUGUAUGCUCCGAAUCUUCUGGGCUACACGCGCGCAACAAUGGUAAGGACAAUGGGCUACGACUCCGAAAGGAGAAGUUAAUCCUCGAAACCUUAUCUUAGUUCAGAUUGAGGGUUGUAACUCACCCUCAUGACGCUGGAAUCCCUAGUAAUGGGGUCUCAUCAUGGCCCCGUGAAUAUGUCCCUGCUCCUUGCACACACCGCCCGUCAAACCACCCGAGUGGGGGUUAGAUGAGAGCUGCAUUUUAUGUAAAUCGAAUCUAACCUUCGCGAGGAGGGUUAAGUCGUCACAAGGUA
rnacentral:rRNA from 1 species